UACGUAGGGUGCGAGCGUUAAUCGGAAUUACUGGGCGUAAAGCGUGCGUAGUCGGUUAUCUAAGUCGGGUGUGAAAUCCCCGGGCUCAACCUGGGAAUUGCAUUCGAUACUGGAUAGCUAGAGUUCGGCAGAGGGAAGCGGAAUUUCGGGUGUAGCGGUGAAAUGCGUAGAUAUCCGAAGGAACAUCAGUGGCGAAAGCGGCUUCCUGGACCAGAACUGACGCUGAGGAGCGAAAGCCAGGGGAGCAAACGGG
rnacentral:rRNA from 1 species